UGCCUGUAACACGAUGCUCACGGCAGUAAGAGCCCAGUUCAUCCUGCUGCCCAGGAAUGUGUUGGAACGCUGCCACAGCACGAGCCUCGGAGCAAGAAGCCUUGGAAGCUUCCCAGGAAGGCUGGGGAAUCAAAGAUGUGCAGCUUAAUAUGGAGACAAAGUUUGAGCAGGCAGCAAAACAGCAGGGUCUGAGGGGCAGGGCCCAGGUGAGGUCACAGCAUUACUCACUUUCGUGGCUGCCUCUGCCUCCAAAGGGGCAGCUGAGUAAGGAUUUCUUCGUUUGGCAAAGGCAUUUCUCAAGUGGCAAAGAGGAGAGUCCUGAAGUGAUUCCCACAGGGCUGAUCAGCCUGGGUUCACUCAAGGACUGUGGCUGGUAAGAGUGCUCCCCACGGGGCUGUAUAUCUGGGGCAGUCCUUGUCCAGUGAGUGAGUAUUCCACUCACUCUGGGAUGGGAAAGGGCAUCUGAGUGUGCAGGGAAGGACAGUGACUGUUCCAUGGCCACACACAGACAAGUGGCAGAGCAAAGCAGACUCCAGGGGCUUCACAUCAUGGGGCUGUCCCCCCAGCAGGUUGUUUCCAGCAGUGAGGAUGGGGAAGGGAAGGGCAAAAGGGGGAUUCCUCCUGCCUCAUCUGCCCCUGCACACACAGAUCUGCCCACCUUAAUCCCAGUGCUGACACCCCAGUGCUGUCCCUGGAGAAAAGCCUCAAAUUCUCAGGAAUUCCUAGCACAGACUUGCUCCCCCCAGC
rnacentral:lncRNA from 12 species